rnacentral:rRNA from 1 species
CGGCAGCUUACACAUGCAAGUCGAGCGGAGUGAUGGUGCUUGCACUAUCACUUAGCGGCGGACGGGUGAGUAAUGCUUAGGAAUCUGCCUAUUAGUGGGGGACAACAUUUCGAAAGGAAUGCUAAUACCGCAUACGUCCUACGGGAGAAAGCAGGGGAUCUUCGGACCUUGCGCUAAUAGAUGAGCCUAAGUCGGAUUAGCUAGUUGGUGGGGUAAAGGCCUACCAAGGCGACGAUCUGUAGCGGGUCUGAGAGGAUGAUCCGCCACACUGGGACUGAGACACGGCCCAGACUCCUACGGGAGGCAGCAGUGGGGAAUAUUGGACAAUGGGCGCAAGCCUGAUCCAGCCAUGCCGCGUGUGUGAAGAAGGCCUUAUGGUUGUAAAGCACUUUAAGCGAGGAGGAGGCUACUGAAGUUAAUACCUUCAGAUAGUGGACGUUACUCGCAGAAUAAGCACCGGCUAACUCUGUGCCAGCAGCCGCGGUAAUACAGAGGGUGCAAGCGUUAAUCGGAUUUACUGGGCGUAAAGCGCGCGUACGCGGCUAAUUAAGUCAAAUGUGAAAUCCCCGAGCUUAACUUGGGAAUUGCAUUCCAUACUGGUGAGCUAGAGUGUGGGAGAGGAUGGUACAAUUCCNGGUGUAUCGGUGAAAUGCGUAUAGAUAUGUAGUAAAANAAAUGGCGAA